UACGUAGGGUCCAAGCGUUAUCCGGAAUCACUGGGCGUAAAGGGCGCGUAGGCGGCUCAUGAAGGCUGUGGUGAAAGUCCGGGGCUCAACCUCGGAUCGGCCGUGGCGACUCGUGGGCUGGAGCACUGUAGAGGCGGGUGGAAUUCCGGGUGUAGCGGUGGAAUGCGUAGAGAUCCGGAAGAACACCAGUGGCGAAGGCGGCUCACUGGCCCGAUACUGACGCUGAGGCACGAAAGCGUGGGGAGCAAACAGG
rnacentral:rRNA from 1 species